UCAGUCGACUCCUACGGGGAGGCAGCAGUGGGGGAAUAUUGCACAAUGGGCGCAAGCCUGAUGCAGCCAUGCCGCGUGUGUGAAGAAGGCCUUCGGGUUGUAAAGCACUUUCAGCAGUGAGGAAGGCGGAGUCGUUAAUAGCGGCCUCGUUUGACGUUAGCUGCAGAAGAAGCACCGGCUAACUCCGUGCCAGCAGCCGCGGUAAUACGGAGGGUGCGAGCGUUAAUCGGAAUUACUGGGCGUAAAGCGCAUGCAGGUGGUUUGUUAAGUCAGAUGUGAAAGCCCGGGGCGUCAACCUCGGAAUAGCAUUUGAAACUAGGCAGACUAGAGUACUGUAGAGGGGGGUAGGAAUUUCAGGUGUAGCGGUGAAAUGCGUAGAGAUCUGAAGGAAUACCGGUGGCGAAGGCGGCCCCCUGGACAGAUACUGACACUCAGAUGCGAAAGCGUGGGGAGCAAACAGGAUUAGAUACCCUGGUAG
rnacentral:rRNA from 1 species